UACGUAGGUCUCAAGCGUUGUUCGGAUUCAUUGGGCGUAAAGGGUGCGUAGGCGGCGCGGUAAGUCGGGUGUGAAAUCUCGGAGCUUAACUCCGAAACUGCAUUCGAUACUGCCGUGCUUGAGGACUGGAGAGGAGACUGGAAUUUACGGUGUAGCGGUGAAAUGCGUAGAUAUCGUAAGGAAGACCAGUGGCGAAGGCGGGUCUCUGGACAGUUCCUGACGCUGAGGCACGAAGGCCAGGGGAGCAAACGGG
rnacentral:rRNA from 1 species